AGAGUUUGAUCAUGGCUCAGAAUGAACGCUGGCGGCGUGGAUUAGGCAUGCAAGUCGCGCGAGAAAAUUCCCUUCGGGGAGUGAGUAGAGCGGCGAACUGGUGAGUAACAGGUGGGUAAUGUGCCCUGAAGUGUGGAAUAACCCGGGGAAACCCGGGCUAAUACCGCAUGUGGCCCUAAGGUUCAUGGACCUAAGGGUUAAAGGCUUCGGCCGCUUCAGGAUCAGCCCGCCCCCGAUUAGCUAGUUGGCGAGGUAAUGGCUCACCAAGGCUUCUAUCGGUAGCUGGUCUGAGAGGAUGGUCAGCCACACUGGGACUGAGAUACGGCCCAGACUCCUACGGGGGGCAGCAGUCUAGAGGCUUCGGCAAUGGGGGAAACCCUGACCGAGCGACGCCGCGUGCGGGAUUGAAGGCCUUCGGGUCGUAAACCGCUGUCGGGUGGGAAGAAUGCCUGUAUGGUGAAUACAGGAGUGACGGUACCACCAAAGGAAGCCCCGGCUAACUCCGUGCCAGCAGCCGCGGUAAUACGGAGGGGGCAAGCGUUAUUCGGAUUUACUGGGCGUAAAGGGUGUGUAGGCGGUCGUGUAAGUCUGGUGUGAAAUCUUCACCACUCAACGGGAAGAGGUCACUGGAAACUGCAUGACUUGAGUUUGGUAGAGGCUAGCGGAAUUCCUGGUGUAGCGGUGGAAUGUGUAGAUAUCAGGAAGAACACCUGUGGCGAANGCGGCUAGCUGGGCCAAUACUGACGCUGAGACACGAAAGCGUGGGGAGCAAACGGGAUUAGAUACCCCGGUAGUCCACGCCGUAAACGGUGCACACUANGUGUAGGGGGAUAUCGACCCCCUCUGUGCCGACGUUACACAUUAAGUGUGCCGCCU
rnacentral:rRNA from 1 species